ACAAUUCCAAAUAUUUUCAAAGAAGAUAUAUCAAUCGUACGGAGAAAAUAAUAUUACAAAAAGAAAAAAAUAUUUUAAAUCGAAAAUAUUAAUAUGUAAUAUUACAAAAAGAAUUUGUGGAAGUGUUACAAUGAUCCAUGACAAGCAUAAUUCGACAAGCCAAAUCUAAUUUUGAAAUCCACACUGUUGCAUGAGUUGCACUAAUUUUUCAACCCCUACAUAAUUUAGAAGCUCACCUUUAUCUAAAACAAUUAUAUAAUCUACAAACAGUGUAACUGAGUAAACAAGCAAUUAGCACUUGAAUUCCAAAACUUGAGCAAUGACAUCAGCAAAUAGAUUUUCUUGCACUUUUUUAGGUAUCUGAACUUCGACAUUUGCAGAAGCAUGAACUAAUUCACUUCCAGGUUGACUUAGAUAUCCAGUUUCUAUAAAUUCAGGUUAGGUAAUUUUCUGGUCAUGAUGAAUGGUGUGUGAAAUUUUUCUUAUUCCGACAUCUAAAUUGUCAGCCUCGAGAAGACCAGUUGUGAGAAAGCUUUGCAUAUAGAAUCAUCUACAAGAUAAGGCUGGUCACAUGUCAUAAAUACCUGAAUAAUAUUAAUAGACAAAUAGGAAGGACCAAUAGUAAGUCUAAAGAGAUAAUUGAGGCAUAUAUUUUCAAAUUGUGUAGAAGCAUAUCAGAGUGCAAAAAAACAUAAAGUUAUACUUAAUAGAAACUAGAAGGUGGGCAUAUGAAAACAUGAAACAAAAACACAUUACAUCGCUAGCUGUUUUCUAGCUAAGUGCAAGUGAUUCGGUAAUGAUUAUCGUCUCAUCAUGCGUGAGUUCUCCAUCUUUUCCUACCUCAUCACAACUCGCAAGUACUCAUAAGAUCACAAAGCUGUUGUGAUACGAAAUAAGCAGAAAACUCCAAACAGUAGGGUUGUAAUUCACAUUAAAUUUGAACAAAAAAAUAUUAGGACAUUGUAAAAUGAGGUUUUGAAGCUCCAAAAAUGGUAAUUGUGAAUAAACAGAUUCCUAAGCGAACAACCUUUCACAUCUGAAAGCGAAAAAAAAAGAAAUAAUAUUAUGAUCUUCAAUGAAUUAUAUUGUACUAAAGACAAUAGACCAUAAACUACAUACUUUAUGUUAAGACAUAAUGUAGGCUAUAAAUAUGGUACUAUCUUCCUUUUUCCCUAAUAUUUCAUGGGAGUAUCUAAUAAACUAAAUAAAAGUAAUAUAACUCCAAGGAAAUCAGUUUGUAGGGUGCUUAAGCACCAAUAAAUGACCUUGUCAUCUCUAGUAGCAAUUAUUAUAUAUUGGACCAAAUCUAUGCAGAUUCUGUAUUACAACAUAGUCACCAUUUUACAUGACUUAAUAAUACUUCUCCAUUCUUGUCAUGCUAACUAUUCUUCCUUUCAAAUUAUUGACUGAUUGUGGUAAAGACGGAAGCCAAUACAUAAUCAACAAAGAGUAAUACAUGACAAAACUUUCAUUACCACAUUAAGGCAGCCUACUUAUAGAUAAUGUUAUUUAUGGAUGGUUGCAAAGAUUUAAUGUGAAAGGAAUGAUUACAACUUGAUAAUCAUAGAUAAUAAUGCGUAAAAACCAUGGACAAAUUCUUUGUAAUAUUUUUAGUUUUUUUUUUAAAAAAAUUCUUCACUUAUGCACAUACAACACCAUCAUAAACAAAGCUAUAACUGGAGCAAAUGUUGAUAUUAACAGUUAGCAUUUGGUUUGGUUAUCACUAAAUUUGCAAUUAUGGUACUUCUUAACAAAUUAUAAUUGAUUAUUCAAGCCACCAACACUAAAAGAGGGAAGGAAAAAAAUCAAUAAUAUUUCAUUUAUUGCCGUCUAAAUUAUUUCAUAUUUAGCUAACAGCAGGAAAAAUCAAACUUAUAAAGGCUAACUCCAUUGAACACAACAUUGAACACAUGAAUGAAUAUAUAUUUGAACACAACAUUACUACUGUUGAACACAACAUUACUACUGUUGAACACAACAUUACUACUGCUGAAAAGAUGAAUUGCUGAACACAACAAUAUAUUUACUAAUGCUCAAUAUGCUGAAAAUAUGAAUGAACAGACAAUAUUCUAUUGUUUGACUCUUUGGCAUGGACUUAUAAAUGCUCUUGUAUUGACGCAAAAUAUGUUUUUCUGUUAAUGAUAGUUAAACAAGUUAUAUAGAAAGGUAAUUAUACAGUGACAUAAAUAAAGGGUUGUAUUCAAAGAAAAAUACUGAUUUUUUCGAGACCAGAUUUAUUAAGUCUACUUUAGGUGUGAAGGAUGCAUCCAGUAGCAUUCUGAAAUAAGGAUUGAAGAACCACUGAUUAAGGUACUACCACAUAAAAAUAUGUUAUAUAGAAUAACUAGUGGAUUAAUUUUGUCAUAUACAGAUCAGAAUAGUAAUACCAAAACUAAUAUGGGUAAUAUAAAUUAAAAAACGUAUUAAUUAAAUUAAAAACUUACCGAUUACAUAAAACUAAGCUUUAGCUUUGGGAGUUCUGUUACCAGUAAGUUUGACCUAAUUCAACUCUGCCGAUCUACAAUCAAUUGCGGAGUAGGGUUCCAAUUCCAAAUCGCAUAAAUUGCUAAAAACGCAACCCCAAUUCACUUUCACAGCCCUAAUUCGCAGGGAGAAAUCUAAAAACACACCAGCCCCAAUUCCCCAAUUCUCAAUUCCUUUUAACUUUUACAUCCCUAAUUCACAGGGAGAAAUCGCAUCGCAGCUCGCCCACUUUCUUUUCACCACUCACAGCAGCCCCAAUUCCCAAUUCCUUUUCACUUUCACGACCCUAAUUCGUAGGGGGAAUCAUAUCGCAGCUCGCCCAAUUCCUUUUCACCAAUUUCUUUUCACUGAUAAUAUACAUCCGCUAGAACACGAUUUUUUUUACAGAUGCUUUGUUGGUUAUGAUUGCGGCAUAAUCAAAAAGAAAAAAUAUUAAUCAUGUCCGCUAGUUGUACUAGCGGACGGCGAGAUUGAUUAACAUUCAUAAAUAUAAUGUAUGGUAAAUAUGCUAUUUGCCCAUUUUUG
rnacentral:lncRNA from 1 species